UUGUGUCUGAUUCAUCCCUGUAAUAUUGUCAAGUCUGAUAGAAUUGCAGAAGCACUUCAACAUUUUUAACAGUCCCAGUUUCUGAGUAAGCUGUCACAGCAUCUCAACCUGGGAGUUAGGAGAAAAUGAGGAGAAUCAUAGUCACUGAAGGGAGGUGAACUUGAGAAGUGCCAACUAAUGGAAAUUUCCAGUAUAAUAACAUUCAAGAGCAAAAGUGAAUCAGGAGACACAAGUGAAUUAGGGAGUUUUAAUGUGUAAGGAUCUCAGAAUUUUUCCCUCACUGCCCUUAGGUCAGUUAGAGAUUCAUAAAAUAAAGCAAGGCUCACAAAGCAGUUAUUAAUGCUUCAUGUGAGUCAGUGGACUAGCUUUCUUUUGCAGUGUUGCAGCCUACAUCCAUUCUAUAUGAGCAGGUUCCUACAUACAUCCAAAAGAUAAAUAGAUAAUGAGGUACUGAGGUAGAUUUACAUGAGAUGGAGGUUUGAGCAGGUUACUGCAGUGGGCAGGAUAGGAGUGGUAAAUGGGUGGGUGCUUUGGAGAAAAGAAUAACUGAAAAAAUUUCAAGGGGAAGAGUUUAAAAUGCAUGUGGUCUGGAUCCUAAAUAUUUAAAGAGUGAUCUUUCUGGACGAGCAGUAUCCAUAGCAGCUGGGAGCAUGUUAGAAAUGUGAGACUCAGACCCGCUGAAUCAGAAUGGGCAUUUCACAAUAUCCUCAUGUAAUUCAUAUGCACUCUAAAGUUGAGAAGUACCAGUCUUGUGUGCUUCUUUUGCCAGGUUCUGUGUUCUCUCGAGGUCUCUGAUAGAUGCUCAGGACGCAUUCUUGAACACGCAGAUUCAUAAGCCAAAUGGAAAAUCGGAUUCACAUUUCAGCAACUUCAUUUCUCUUAUCAGCUAUUUUAGCAGAGAGAAAGGAAAUUAAAUCUUGUCUAUUGCUAUGGAUAAGGGUGUCUGAACUGCUGAAAAGAAGAAUACCUGUUAGGAACCAAAUCCUGUCCUAUGCGAGAGUUAAUGGUUAUGGAGAGGCAGGAAUUUGCAAUACUAGAAAAUUUAGAGGUGGAUGUCGGAGCUGAAGUCUUUAUCAUUAUAAAGCCUUACAAAGUUUAUUGUCUAUACUAGGGCAGUUUGGAUGGUUUUUGGGUUUUAUAGGAGAUUAGAAGAAUUUUGUAUCAGGAAUAAUUUUUUUAAAUGUGAAGGAGAAACUAGUUUUUUAAAGAUCAUUUUCAAUACCAAGACACAGAGUUAGAGCCAGCUUAAGUGCAAUAUGAAAAGUAAACUUUGUAAACAAGUUCAGGAUGACAGAUUCUGAUGGGAGAAAUCAGACUGUUCUUGAUAGGUCUGGCAGGAGAGCCAGAUAAGAAGGCAAAGCAAAUAUUUACUUAGGAAUAGAUAAAGAAAAGAGAGAACCCAGUAAGCAUUAGGGAAAUGCCUGCAUCAAUCAGAUUCAUGUCAGAGUUUUGGGGUGGUAUUUUCUAUCAGGUUCCCUGCUAGAUGUUAGUGAUAAAAUCAUGACCUUGUCCUGCUCUCCAAUUGUUCAAGUGAAGACAAUUAACCGUAGUACAAGCCAGCUUGUGGUGAUACUCAGUUUUGGCCUUGGGAAUGAAUUCCCUCUGUUGACUCCAUAAGAUGUGAGGAAUGUGUGAAAAGACUUGAGUUCUGGUGUGUUCUGAAGCGUGAAGACCUAACAGAAAUGGGAUCUCCCUGUGUUGCCCGGGUUGGUUUUGAACUGCUGAGCUCAAGCAAACCUCCUGUCUUGGCCUCUCAAAGUGCUGGAGUUAAAGGAAAUGUCUGCUACAGACACAGACUGAAGUGGCGUAUAUCGUGCUGAUUCAGAAGAGAAUGAAGGCAUUUGUCAAGAGAUAAUGUCAGACUAAUCAGACAUGUUUCAACUGAUUAUUGCAUUUGGAGGAUUUCCAAAUAUUUCUUGAUCUAAGGAAGGUGAGGUGAGGCUAAUCCAUGAUUUGUCAAUCCCACUGAAAAACUAUAAAAGCACAUUUAUGCAUACGUAGGUAUGCUUCUUUGCUCCAGAAAAUAGAUCAAUAAUUAGAUCUUAUGAGGAAGGUCCCCUUGUGAUAAUGUAAGAAUUUAACUUUGAUUUGUUCCUACUGUAACUGGAUAAUUAAUUUUAAUUUUCAAAGCCUGAGUCUGUGAGAAAAUGAUUUAGAAUUAAUAACUGACCUCCAGCUGUUGAAUAAAUUAUUAUUUUGAUUACUGAAAAUAUAUGUGUGGAGACUAAUAUCAGUAGAAGAAAUAAAGAGACUCCUAAUAAGUAGAUGGGUUUUAAGUUCAGUUUGGGGAGUGCAUUUAUGCUUUGUUACUAAGAGUUAAAUUCCAUGGUAACUCAGCAAGCAGUAUGUUAGUUUAACCAUGAAACACUUUAUAAUAGGCAUUGCACAUAAUUGUCUACUCAUAUAUUAGGUGCAGCCUUUUCAAAAACACAGAGAAAUUGAGGCAUAUAUAGGAAAAUGUAAAAUAUUAAGGGGUUGAUUUUAAUUGUUUCUUGUAAGUAACAUCUUAGGCAGGGGUGUGUGCCUUUAGGGAAACAAAUGGUUUUAAUAUGACAUUUGUAUUUGUUACAGAUAACUAAAUUGCAUAACAGGAGAAUUAUGCCUAUAAAAUGUGUAUUUCCAAAACAUGUCAGUUGAGAUUUGUUUUAUUAGUUUUGUCCUUAUGUCUUUAUGGCUGAGGUUAUUAAUAUUACUACUCUUCUCUCAGACACGUGGUUUAAAAUGCAGUCAUCUUUGACUCAUCUUUAUUUUCUCCUGUUAUUUUCUCUCUCCCUUAUUUCAAACCAUGUAUCCAGUAUCUAUCUAUCUAAUUCAUGGUUCUUUGUAUAACGUUUACCUUCUCAGAAACCACCAAUGAUUCACCAUUGCAUACUGUGUUUUAAGUUAAACCCUUUUUUUGCUAUUAAUGAUACCAAUAUUACUAAGAAAAUUCACAUUUUCAACAAUUGUAUUAUAAACUCAAUUCUUUCAAUGUGUAUGUGUUAAGAGAAAGUAAGGAAGGGACUAAAAUAAUACCAGACAACAAUAACCAAGUUAUAUUCUAUUAAAAAAUUUCUUUGAUGAAAUUAUUAUUCAAACUGGGUAUGGUAGUAUUUUGUGAGAGCUACAAACAAUAAACAAAACCAACAAAAAUAAACCAAAACGUUCCCAGGAAGUUACUGAAGAGCAUGUAAGAUCAGACAAGAAUCAAUAAACUUUGUACAGUCAAUAUGAAUUCUAGUGUUGUUUACAACUUCCAGCAGGAAACAGAAGAAAGAACAC